UACGUAGGGGGCGAGCGUUGUCCGGAAUUAUUGGGCGUAAAGGGCGCGUAGGCGGCCGUUUAAGUCUGAUGUGAAAGUGCGGGGCUUAACCCCGUAAAGCAUUGGAAACUGGAUGGCUUGAGGACAGGAGAGGAAAGUGGAAUUCCACGUGUAGCGGUGAAAUGCGUAGAUAUGUGGAGGAACACCAGUGGCGAAGGCGACUUUCUGGACUGUAACUGACGCUGAGGCGCGAAAGCGUGGGGAUCAAACA
rnacentral:rRNA from 1 species